rnacentral:sRNA from 2 species
CCGGGUGGCACGCCGAAUCCCGCCCCGCCCGGCGCACAUCAGAUCUGAGGGCGGGAGCGGGGGACCCAGAGUUCCCGGGCGUUCUUUCUGGACGUCCUUGGGGUGAAGCCGCCAGCGCUUUGCGGCGCGGAUAUGUGUGCGGCCGGGCGAUUCCCAGCCCGAACCCGACAGCUAACUUCGUAGGCGUGGGGAGGGACAUU